AAAUACUCUCUAGUGACCGAUAGUGAACCAGUACCGUGAGGGAAAGGUGAAAAGCACCCCGGAAGGGGAGUGAAAUAGAACCUGAAACCGUGUGCUUACAAGUAGUCAGAGCCCGUUAAUGGGUGAUGGCGUGCCUUUUGUAGAAUGAACCGGCGAGUUACGAUUUGAUGCAAGGUUAAGCAGUAAAUGUGGAGCCGUAGCGAAAGCGAGUCUGAAUAGGGCGUUUAGUAUUUGGUCGUAGACCCGAAACCAGGUGAUCUACCCUUGGUCAGGUUGAAGUUCAGGUAACACUGAAUGGAGGACCGAACCGACUUACGUUGAAAAGUGAGCGGAUGAACUGAGGGUAGCGGAGAAAUUCCAAUCGAACCUGGAGAUAGCUGGUUCUCUCCGAAAUAGCUUUAGGGCUAGCCUCAAGUGAUGAUUAUUGGAGGUAGAGCACUGUUUGGACGAGGGGCCCCUCUCGGGUUACCGAAUUCAGACAAACUCCGAAUGCCAAUUAAUUUAACUUGGGAGUCAGAACAUGGGUGAUAAGGUCCGUGUUCGAAAGGGAAACAGCCCAGACCACCAGCUAAGGUCCCAAAAUAUAUGUUAAGUGGAAAAGGAUGUGGCGUUGCCCAGACAACUAGGAUGUUGGCUUAGAAGCAGCCAUCAUUUAAAGAGUGCGUAAUAGCUCACUAGUCGAGUGACACUGCGCCGAAAAUGUACCGGGGCUAAACAUAUUACCGAAGCUGUGGAUUGUCCUUUGGACAAUGGUAGGAGAGCGUUCUAAGGGCGUUGAAGCAUGAUCGUAAGGACAUGUGGAGCGCUUAGAAGUGAGAAUGCCGGUGUGAGUAGCGAAAGACGGGUGAGAAUCCCGUCCACCGAUUGACUAAGGUUUCCAGAGGAAGGCUCGUCCGCUCUGGGUUAGUCGGGUCCUAAGCUGAGGCCGACAGGCGUAGGCGAUGGAUAACAGGUUGAUAUUCCUGUACCACCUAUAAUCGUUUUAAUCGAUGGGGGGACGCAGUAGGAUAGGCGAAGCGUGCGAUUGGAUUGCACGUCUAAGCAGUAAGGCUGAGUAUUAGGCAAAUCCGGUACUCGUUAAGGCUGAGCUGUGAUGGGGAGAAGACAUUGUGUCUUCGAGUCGUUGAUUUCACACUGCCGAGAAAAGCCUCUAGAUAGAAAAUAGGUGCCCGUACCGCAAACCGACACAGGUAGUCAAGAUGAGAAUUCUAAGGUGAGCGAGCGAACUCUCGUUAAGGAACUCGGCAAAAUGACCCCGUAACUUCGGGAGAAGGGGUGCUCUUUAGGGUUAACGCCCAGAAGAGCCGCAGUGAAUAGGCCCAAGCGACUGUUUAUCAAAAACACAGGUCUCUGCUAAACCGUAAGGUGAUGUAUAGGGGCUGACGCCUGCCCGGUGCUGGAAGGUUAAGAGGAGUGGUUAGCUUCUGCGAAGCUACGAAUCGAAGCCCCAGUAAACGGCGGCCGUAACUAUAACGGUCCUAAGGUAGCGAAAUUCCUUGUCGGGUAAGUUCCGACCCGCACGAAAGGCGUAACGAUUUGGGCACUGUCUCAACGAGAGACUCGGUGAAAUCAUAGUACCUGUGAAGAUGCAGGUUACCCGCGACAGGACGGAAAGACCCCGUGGAGCUUUACUGUAGCCUGAUAUUGAAAUUCGGCACAGCUUGUACAGGAUAGGUAGGAGCCUUUGAAACGUGAGCGCUAGCUUACGUGGAGGCGCUGGUGGGAUACUACCCUAGCUGUGUUGGCUUUCUAACCCGCACCACUUAUCGUGGUGGGAGACAGUGUCAGGCGGGCAGUUUGACUGGGGCGGUCGCCUCCUAAAAGGUAACGGAGGCGCUCAAAGGUUCCCUCAGAAUGGUUGGAAAUCAUUCAUAGAGUGUAAAGGCAUAAGGGAGCUUGACUGCGAGACCUACAAGUCGAGCAGGGUCGAAAGACGGACUUAGUGAUCCGGUGGUUCCGCAUGGAAGGGCCAUCGCUCAACGGAUAAAAGCUACCCCGGGGAUAACAGGCUUAUCUCCCCCAAGAGUUCACAUCGACGGGGAGGUUUGGCACCUCGAUGUCGGCUCAUCGCAUCCUGGGGCUGUAGUCGGUCCCAAGGGUUGGGCUGUUCGCCCAUUAAAGCGGUACGCGAGCUGGGUUCAGAACGUCGUG
rnacentral:rRNA from 1 species